ensembl:tRNA
GCGUUCGUGGUGUAAUGGUCGGCAUGGAUGCCUUCCAAGCAUUCGACGGGGGUUCGAUUCCCCCCCCCCCGAACGCA